rnacentral:rRNA from 1 species
UCGAGAAUCUUCGGCAAUGGGCGAAAGCCUGACCGAGCGAUGCCGCGUGCGGGAUGAAGGCCUUCGGGUUGUAAACCGCUGUCGUAGGGGAGAAAGGGUCGUUGAAGAAACGACUUUGAUCUAUCCUAGGAGGAAGUCCGGGCUAAGUUCGUGCCAGCAGCCGCGGUAACACGAACCGGACAAACGUUAUUCGGAAUUACUGGGCUUAAAGGGUGCGUAGGCGGUGCGGUAAGUGCGGUGUGAAAUCCCACGGCUCAACCGUGGAAUUGCGCUGCAUACUGCCGUGCUAGAGGGAGACAGGGGUAAGCGGAACUGAUGGUGGAGCGGUGAAAUGCGUUGAUAUCAUCAGGAACACCGGUGGCGAAAGCGGCUUACUGGGUCUCUUCUGACGCUGAGGCACGAAAGCUAGGGUAGCGAACGGGAUUAGAUACCCGAGUAGUCCCUGAGCGGGCUGGCAAGGCGCAU